rnacentral:rRNA from 1 species
UACGUAGGGUGCGAGCGUUGUCCGGAUUUAUUGGGCGUAAGAGCUCGUAGGCGGUUUGUCGCGUCGGCCGUGAAAUCUCCACGCUUAACGUGGAGCGUGCGGUCGAUACGGGCAGACUUGAGUUCGGUAGGGGAGACUGGAAUUCCUGGUGUAGCGGUGAAAUGCGCAGAUAUCAGGAGGAACACCGGUGGCGAAGGCGGGUCUCUGGGCCGAUACUGACGCUGAGGAGCGAAAGCGUGGGGAGCGAACAGG